rnacentral:rRNA from 1 species
GACGAACGCUGGCGGCGUGCUUAACACAUGCCAGUCGAACGGAAAGGCUCCAGCUUGCUGGAGUACUCGAGUGGCGAACGGGUGAGUAACACGUGGGUGAUCUGCCCUGCACUUCGGGAUAAGCCUGGGAAACUGGGUCUAAUACCGGAUAGGACCGCACUUUGGUGUGUGUGGUGGAAAGGUUUUUCUGGUGUGGGAUGAGCUCGCGGCCUAUCAGUUUGUUGGUGGGGUAAUGGCCUACCAAGACGGGGACGGGUAGCCGGCCUGGGAGGGUGGACGGUCACAGUGGGACUGAGAUACGGCCCAGACGCCUACGGGAGGCAGCAGGGGGGAAUAUUGCACAAUGGGGGAAACCCUGAUGCAGCGACGCCGCGUGGGGGAGGAAGGCCUUCGGGUUGUAAACUCCUUUCGCUAGGGACGAAGCUUUUUGUGACGGUACCUGGAGAAGAAGCACCGGCUAACUACGUG